AGUUCUUUCCAACCCCAUGAGAACAACAGCAGAGCUCCCUGCAGUGGGAUGACCUUCAAAACUGACUUGAGACCAUUUGAGUGACUGAUGGGGAACCUGUAAUUGCACGUGGAGUGUCUCUAGCUCCUGCAUACACCAGGCUGCAGCAGAGGCAGGGCAUUCAUUGCUCUUCCCUGCCUCCCACCUGGCAGACUUCCCUCCCAGCCCUUACCCUAGUCUGCAGUGAGCUCUGCUUGUUGCUGAAGACAGCAAGACAUGGCUGAAACUGCUGAAACUGCUGCCAAUUGUUUAGCACGGCUUUCCAGCACCCCUUGGAUGUUCAUGGUGAGAGAAAUUCCCUGGCUUGUUUCCCCUGCUGUCUGUAUAUCAUCCUAGCAGCCGGAGAACCAGUUUGCUUUGAUUUGGGAGUCCAUUACACCAUGAUAAUAUGAUUGCUUCAAGGAACAUGUUCUGAACAAGAGUAAGGGAUUUAAGAAACUGAAGACAGAAAGUAUCCACAGAAUCAUGGAGAAGCAUGUGGAAUACAAACACAGGAAGGAGACAAGAAGAUCUGGAUAACGGUAAAGCAACACAUAUGGGAAGUCUGCUUGAGAAGAACAAACACAAAUGCCAAAAAUAAUUCACUAGCUACAUUUAGUUAGAAGAUCUGGAGAGCAAACAUAAGCAUCCUAAACAAAUGAAGUAGGUUAGCCAGAGUGUCUACCGGCCCCAGGGUCACAUACUGCUGCUCUAACUGCCAGCAGUGUCCAUGUGGAAUGGGGAGCUUUCCAAAUUCUGGCCAGAAGUGGCUGUGUAGAGAAUACUGUCUGUUCUCUUGCCUUUUUAUGAAAUGUAUACUGAAAUGCAAAGCCAUGUCAGAAAAAACUGAGCUUGUGUAUCUGCACAGCAAGUGCUAUGAUGUGCAAAAUUGCUUGUUUAUGCUCUAGAAGCAAAACCAUAGUGUUAGUUUGCUCCUGUACAUGAACAUGUUUUCACAUCACCCACACUUUUGUUUUAUUUUAAAUGUAUAUAUAUUUUCAUUUAAGCGUAUAGAAAGAGUGCUAAAACAGGCUUAUGAGGUGUCCUUA